rnacentral:rRNA from 1 species
GUGGGGAAUCUUCCACAAUGGACGAAAGUCUGAUGGAGCAACGCCGCGUGAGUGAAGAAGGGUUUCGGCUCGUAAAGCUCUGUUGUCGGGGACGAAUGUGCAGUAUUUGAAUAAAGUAGUGCAAUGACGGUACCUGACGAGGAAGCCACGGCUAACUACGUGCCAGCAGCCGCGGUAAUACGUAGGUGGCAAGCGUUGUCCGGAAUUAUUGGGCGUAAAGGGAGCGCAGGCGGGAAGGUAAGUCGGUCUUAAAAGUGCGGGGCUCAACCCCGUGAUGGGAUCGACACUAUCUUUCUUGAGUGCAGGAGAGGAAAGUGGAAUUCCUAGUGUAGCGGUGAAAUGCGUAGAUAUUAGGAGGAACACCAGUGGCGAAGGCGACUUUCUGGACUGUAACUGACGCUGAGGCUCGAAAGCCAGGGGAGCGAACGGGAUUAGAUACCCCAGUAGUCC